rnacentral:rRNA from 1 species
GUGCCAGCAGCCGCGGUAAGACGAAGGAUUCAAGCGUUGUCCGGAUUUACUGGGUUUAAAGGGUGCGUAGGCGGAACUUUAAGUCAGUGGUGAAAGCUCUCGGCUCAACCGAGAAACUGCCAUUGAAACUGAUUUUCUUGAAUACAGUUGAGGUAGAUGGAAUAUAACAUGUAGCGGUGAAAUGCUUAGAUAUGUUAUAGAACACCGAUUGCGAAGGCAGUCUGCUAAGCUGUUAUUGACGCUGAGGCACGAAAGCGUGGGGAGCAAACAGGAUUAGAUACCCCCGUAGUCC